rnacentral:rRNA from 1 species
UACGGAGGGCGCGAGCGUUAUCCGGAAUUACUGGGUUUAAAGGGUGCGUAGGCGGCCAUGUAAGUCAGGAGUGAAAGUUUGCGGCUCAACCGUAAAAUUGCUUUUGAUACUGCAUGGCUGGAAUCAGGAUGAGGUCAGCGGAAUGUGGCAUGUAGCGGUGAAAUGCAUAGAUACGCCAUAGAACACCAAUUGCGAAGGCAGCUGGCUAGACCUGUAUUGACGCUGAGGCACGAAAGCGUGGGGAGCGAACAGG